rnacentral:lncRNA from 1 species
UUAUAGGCGUGAGCCUCCGCGCCCAGCAAAAAGACAUUCUUAUAGAAAAGCAUUGGAAGGCAAUUUUUUAAACAGUUGCAAUAGGGUUAGGAUUAUGGUUUUCUAUUCUUAUCAACAUUUUGUAAUGUUUCUAUGACAUAUUUUCUCUAAUAAGAAGCAGGUAGAAAGUAAAUUCGUUCACCAGUGGGAAUUGAAAGGGUACGAAGAGACACUAUAAAACAGGUGAGUCAUAUGUGUUUUUGCCCCAAGCAUGCAUUACUCUGCAAUGGUGGGAACAGAGUGAAGUCAAGAAUUGUUGUCUUCUGUGGGAAGUCUGUUUAAUUUGCAGGAAAUAGUGGAUAAGCAGAACUUACUAAAGAAAUCUCACUCAAUUUUGCUAAAGAGGGAGAAUAUGAUUUGAUUUUAUGCUACCUUAAUAUUUAAGCAAGAGCACUGCUUUUCUUCGAUUUCUGCCACCUAUCAUCAAGUCAACUAUUUAUAAAGAGACUACUCAGUGCCAGGCACUGAUCUUUAGAAACUCGAAUCCUCAUAACAAUUGGGAAAUAUACUACCAUACUACUUUUUAUAUUUCCAAGGGCAGAUCGUAGAACACUAGGCCUGCUUUCAAAAUAUCUUUCAGUUGAAUUAAACCAUAGGCCAAACUGAUACAUAGACAAAUGAUUGUUCCUAUUACCUGAAGUAAGGGGAAAAGGAGCUCAAAUCACUUGUCUUCCUGCCACAUGCAACCACUCUGUUAGGCCUCUUACAUAUGUUCUCAUUAAACCAUAGCAUGAGGUGGGUAUAUAGCAUAACCCCUAUUUUGUCUCAAAACUCAAAUAGCAAGGUCACAGAUAGCUAAGUUAUUCCUAGGCUAGACUCGAAGGCUUAGGAGUGCUUGGGACUUUCCUAACAUUUGGACUUCCUUGUAGUUAUUCUCAAAGGAGGAGCGAUUGGCAUUUUGGACAGAGCACUUCUUUGUGCAGGACUGUCUGACAGAUUGCAAGAUAUCCCGUAUCCCUGGCCCCGGUUAUAAAAGGCUUGGAGCAUCACUCCUUGGUAUUGUGACAACGAAAAAUGCUCCUCCACUUCCAAAUGUUCUCUGGGGUGGGAGGAUUCCACCUUCAUUAGAGAAACAUUAAGAGAUUUUUUUUAAAAAUUCAUAUUCAUACCACCGAUAAAUGUUUAUCAGGUCCCUUCUCCAUGCCAGGCACUUUGCUGGCAUGAGAGAUGUUUAGUGGAGAAGACUGACGUUUAAAGUGGUGUCACAAAAUACAGCAAACUCUGCAACAAACCAACAUGCCAUGAGCACAGAGAGGAAAAUGCCUCUGUCUAGAGCAUCUGGGCCAAGCUUGGUGACCUGUUACCGUGAAGUACCCCAGGAGAGUGCCAGAUUUGCUAUUCAAAGCCCUCCAUUCAUGUGAUCAAUCAGAAUCUUAAUUAUUAUCUCACUUCAGGCUUCUAGCUUUUUCUCACUAAGAAUUAAUUUCUCUGUAUGAAAGAUGGAAACUAUAAUACUAUCAUCUGUCCUACCUACCGAACAGAGUUGAUUCAGGGGAAAGCAUUAGGGCGUGCUAUGCACGUUUAGUAAUGUAGCAGGGAUUCGAGAGCCUAAUUUGUGUUCUCUGCUGGGAAUCAGGCAUGUCUGGAAAUGUCCAAUGACUUGGCAGGGUAGGCAGCCUACUGGCAUCUAUUUUUAAGAAGUUGGUUUCCCUGGAUUCUCAUCUGAGCCCUGUGGAGAGAGAGGUUGUUUGCAGAGUCUGAGGAGGCUGUUGUCAUAAGGGACUCUGUGAGACGCAGGGGCUCAAGCUAUGCUCUCUGGUACCCAGAUAACAAACUAAAGCCCAGAGCUAGGGGCUGGGCAGGGUGGAGAUAGGGCAGAAAACCUCUCCAUCUCUGCUGUAAACACAGCAUGCCUGUAGUGCCAGAAGGAGUGCUGAGGACUGCAGAGGCCACAGCACCGCUUUAACUCCCAGGGCCAUACUAGGUCCGUCACUAGCAGCAGCCACGUGAGGAGAUGCCCACCUUUCGAUGGCCUUAUGGGCAGGAAACGUCAACCAGGACAGCGACCUCUAGGGGACCUGUACAGCCGGGUGCCAGGGGCCGUGUGACUUCCCAGGCUAGAGCAUUAGAAUGCCACGCACUUCUGCCAGCUCUCUCUAGACACUGACCCUUAGACCCAAUCUGGGUGCUCAGAGGAAGUCCAAGCAGCCUGUGAUGAGGCCCCCAUGGAGAGAAACCAAGACUCCUAGCCCCCAGCCCAGAGAAGCUUCCAGACAAUGUCCAGAACCUCCUUGCCAGCCUCCUGAGUAAGGAAUCCCGACAUGGACCUCCCAGGUAUUGCUGUCAUCAUUUCUUCCUCCUGCUGGUUUCAGAACCAUGUUAUUCUUCCUGCUGCAUUUCCACCAGCCAUUUUCUUCUGCAACCUGUAGGUUUCAGUUUUCAGUUGAGUCAGCUCCAUUUAGAAGGCUUCCCUGGAAAUUUCAUACAGCGGUUCUGCUUAUCUCCCAAUGGCCAGAAUCUAGCUACGUGAUAUAUUAGUUUGUUCUCAUGGUGCUAUAAAGACAUAUCUGAGACUGGG